GACGAACGCUGGCGGCGUGCUUAACACAUGCAAGUCGAACGGAAAGGCCCUGCUUUUGUGGGGUGCUCGAGUGGCGAACGGGCGAGUAACACGUGAGUAACCUGCCCUUGACUUUGGGAUAACUUCAGGAAACUGGGGCUAAUACCGGAUAGGAGCUCCUGCUGCAUGGUGGAGGUUGGAAAGUUUCGGCGGUUGGGGAUGGACUCGCGGCUUAUCAGCUUGUUGGUGGGGUAGUGGCUUACCAAGGCUUUGACGGGUAGCCGGCCUGAGAGGGUGACCGGCCACAUUGGGACUGAGAUACGGCCCAGACUCCUACGGGAGGCAGAAGUGGGGAAUAUUGCACAAUGGGCGGAAGCCUGAUGCAGCAACGCCGCGUGCGGGAUGACGGCCUUCGGGUUGUAAACCGCUUUCGCCUGUGACGAAGCGUGAGUGACGGUAAUGGGUAAAGAAGCACCGGCUAACUACGUG
rnacentral:rRNA from 1 species